UACGUAGGGUGCAAGCGUUGUCCGGAAUUAUUGGGCGUAAAGAGCUUGUAGGCGGUUUGUCGCGUCUGCUGUGAAAUUUCGGGGCUCAACCCCGAACUUGCAGUGGGUACGGGCAGACUAGAGUGUGGUAGGGGAGACUGGAAUUCCUGGUGUAGCGGUGAAAUGCGCAGAUAUCAGGAGGAACACCGAUGGCGAAGGCGGUUCUCUGGGCCACUACUGACGCUGAGAAGCGAAAGCAUGGGGAGCGAACAGG
rnacentral:rRNA from 1 species